UACGUAGGGUGCAAGCGUUGUCCGGAAUUAUUGGGCGUAAAGAGCUCGUAGGCGGUUUGUUGCGUCGGCUGUGAAAUCCCGAGGCUCAACCUCGGGUCUGCAGUCGAUACGAGCAAACUAGAGUGUUGCAGGGGAGACUGGAAUUCCUGGUGUAGCGGUGAAAUGCGCAGAUAUCAGGAGGAACACCGGUGGCGAAGGCGGGUCUCUGGGCAACAACUGGCGC
rnacentral:rRNA from 1 species